GGGCUCCCUCAGGCGGGCGGGGCUGCGGCGGUGCCGCCCGCGGCCUCUUUCCGUGUGCGGCUGCAGCUGGUAUCGUAGAACCGUGGAAUUAUAGCAUUAUAGAACCAUAGAAUUAGAGAAUCACAGAAUUGUAGAACCGUCAAGGUUGGAAGAGAUCUUUAAGAUCGUCCAGUCCAGCCGUCCACCCACUAACGACUAAACACCGAACCGCAUCACCCGGCGCCAGAUCCAGACGCCUCUUAAACACCUCCAGGGAUGGUGAUUCCACCACUUCCCUGGGCAACCUGGCGCCGCACCAGUUCCCUCCACAUAGAGCAGCCACACAGAAUUACUGAAUCACAAAAUCAACUAGGUUGGAAAAGACCUCUGAGAUUACUGAGUCCAAGCUCCGACCAACCACACCGCCAUGUCAACUAUGUCACCAUGUCAUGGCAGGAAGCGCCAUGUCUGGUCUUUGGAGAGAUAUUGCAACAUGGCUCUGCCACCAGCAGAACUCUGAGCAGGGCAGUGCUGGGGAGAGCCAAGCUCUGUAUGAGCGACAGAAAACCGAGAGGAAAAAGAAAAAAUCCACAUCUGUGAGGUGUUCAGAGACGUCAGGGAGCUGCCGGUGUUUGCUAAAGUUCCCGUGAUCCUUAUUGCCUGCUUGUCUCUUGGAGCUGGAAGCCGACGAGUGGGAUCAGAGCACAUGGCAGCCCACGGCUUUUGGUGUCAUCCCCAGGGAUGGAGUCUCUCACAACCUCUUCAUCCCAAUUUACAAAAACAAAGUCUGCACAGUAGUUUUUUUAGGCUUAGUUUAUUACAAGUUUUACUAAUUUAUUACAGUGGAUCUAAUUUUAAUCAGUCAAAACUUACUGACUGUGUCUAGACAAAAAUCAUCAGGUGAACCAUUCUGAUAGAGAUUUCCAAGAGUCUCAUGACUUUAUAACUGUGCCUCUUACAUCCAGGCAUGAACUUUCAGAUUGGAACAAAGUACAGACUUGCAGCUUGGCUAAAGUCAGUCAGUUUCCUAACAGAAAUCAUGACUUGUACUGGAAAUUUUUCAAAUAGCCUUGAAGUUAAUUAAAAAAAAAAUAGAAAAAAAAUUGAGGAGCCUUUCUCUUAAAUUAGUAAAUUUUAGUAGGGCAGAAUGACUCAAAAUAGCAGUGUCCUUCCCUUAAAAGUCUUCUUUUUUCAUUAAAAAAAGGGGGAAAUAUUAUGAAUUUUAACAGGGACCAUCUGUAAUCAAGCAUCCCCCAUUUUCAAGACUUCUCAGUUCAGGGAUUUCAAUGCUGUGUUUUCACUUAGGAUAGAUGUGCAAGGCAAACACAGCUUCAAAACUGCUCCACAUGACAGAAGAAUUACCUAAUAAUCUAGUUUCAUCUAUAGGUUCUUUUCACACAGUAAUACGAAAAAUAUUUCUAUGCCUAGUUAUUCUUAUGAGGUAAUCUAAGUCUUCUAAAUUGAGGUCAUGUUGUAACAAGUUUAUUUUUCCGCUGUGAUUAAAAAUGCUGCAGGACUGUGCUGUCUUAUGCAGGGCAGCAACAAUUACACAUCCUUACCUACCAGCAAAUGUGGAAAUAGUUGUCUGGAAAAGCCAAGAUGUAGGCUCAGUCUGUAGAAGGUGCAGUGCUGCUCCACAUGAUCUAGCAUAUGAGGUAUAUAUAGAUAUAUAUCUACAGUUCUGUUUGUUUGUGUUUUCAAUAAGAUGUUUUAAACAUAAUCGUGUCAGAAAGUCUAUUUCUGUUGAGUGCUAUUUUAACAUUUUGUUAAGGAAGAAACCUCAUAAUGAUAUGAUUCUCAAGAAAACAGAUGAUUGGGCUUGCUUACCUUUUCAAUUUUACAUAGCAGACACAAAGACAAGGCAGACACAUGCGUAGGAAAUUACUCAUUGUAAUUAUGUUGAAACAGAAAAUGUCAGCAUGUGAACCCUGUAGAAAGGACUGCCCACUGUGAAGCUGUUGGGUCUGUGCAAGCUCCUGGGAGAACUGGCUGAUGGUGUCCCAUCCUGGCUGUGGGAGCCUUUGCUGAACUGCAUCCUCUCAGAUCCCUUUCAGGGACUCUGUCAUGAAGUUUCUCUUCUCUGAUCUGCUGUUCAAAAUAGCAACCGUUCCUUGACAUGACCUACUUAAGGUCUGACACAACGAAGCAGUGUGCUCAAAGAGGGCAGUGUGUUAUCUCUGCUGGCGCCAAGAUGUGUCAAAACAGCAGUCUUGAGGAUUUGUGUUUAAAGAUGCGGUCUCGUGAGACCAGGGCAGAGACCAAACAUCCUGGUGAAUUUCCCAUUUUGUCAUAAUUACAGAAUGUUCUUUCUUUGCUAAUUGGGAAUAUAUUUGCUGUCUUCUCUGUUGUUAUGUAAUGUCUGCAACAUACAUUUUUUGACACUUAGGAUAAAAGACUCUGUUUAAAAGUAAUAUAUUGUAAUGAGAAAAAAUGGUGUCUCAGUUAUCAUAAAAAGUGAAUCCUUCUGUUUGAUGCUUAUGCCUAGUAUGCUCAUGUAAAUCAAAUACAUUUUCUUUAUCUAACAAAUAAGUUUGGUAAAGUUCCUCAGUAAGGACCAGCAUAUUUUUUAAAGUAAUUUAUAUAAGGAAUUUGUGUUUGUUAGUUCACUAACCAUGUUUCUUUCCCUUUAUGAUCUGUGCAAUAAACCUCUACAAAUUCUUUUGUGAUUUACAACUCCUUUAGAUCUCCAGUCUUUCCCAGGAAUAAAAGCAUGUUAAGCAAAAGGAAUCGGCAAACCUGAGCCUUACAGGGAAACUAUAUCUGGAUAAUGAUGUAAUUAACCAUCAAAAUUGCUCUAGCAGAGCAAAAGUGAUCUUGAUUUGGUCGUAAAAGAACAUUACAUAUUUGAAUAAAUCUUUAAGCCAGGUGUUUGUGGAGAAGUGAAUUAAAACUGCUUCCUCCUGCCCUUUAAAGAAUUAAAUUCUGAGAUUCAUCAGUUGACAGCACUUGUUGACAUUCAGUGUGCCUAAGGCAAACACAAGUGCUCUUCUCAUUUUAAUUUGCAAUGUGCUGGGAAAAUAUAGCGCAUGACUUCUGAGAAUUUAAGUGCAUUCCAGGUCAAUUUUAUUCCAAAUUUGCAAGUCAAUUUGUAGGACAAAAGAGUGAUUAAUCUGUCAGAUAUAUGUACCUCAAACAAAGUUCUUUAUGCCUUGUAACACACUCUGUAAAUAAAGGCUAUUAAGAUGA